UGUGGUGGGGCAGCUGCACCCCGAUGAGUGGCUUGCAGUUCCUGGAGCCCUGCAGGUUGUUGGAGAGGCAGGGAGCCCUUCUCCCUCCUGCCUGCCCUCUUGCACUUCCUCUCCCAGAACCCAGCACUACUCCCAGAGGCUCUGAGCUGGAGCCCUAGAAGGAGGCGCUGCAAGGCUCCGUGCUCCUGGAGCUUCGAGUCUAUGGUAUGAGUUAAACAGAAGGGUAUCUCCUCCAUCAGAUCUACAGGAGGGUGUCUGCUCCAUCAGACCUGGAGCUUCCAAGGCAUUUUACCCGAAGCUCCAGCACCUGGCCCAAGGCUGGGCUGUGCUGUGUCCUCAGUGAAAGAAUGGAUGAGUCACAGCUGAAUGACUGAAGAGCUGAACCAGGUCCAGAAAGACUCAGCCACUGGAGUCUGUAUUUCCUGAGUCGCCUCUCACUGCUGGAGCUGUUUAUCAUCGCUCCAACUUUCACUAAAAAGGAAAAACUAUCACUUAAACAAAGCCAUUGAAACCCCAGCAUCAUGUGUGGAUUUUUUAACAUAAAUAAAUCAUACAAACUAA
ensembl:lncRNA PRDM16-DT PRDM16 divergent transcript